rnacentral:rRNA from 1 species
UUUCCUACGGGGGGCAGCAGUGGGGAAUCUUGCGCAAUGGGCGAAAGCCUGACGCAGCAACGCCGCGUGAGCGAAGACGGCCUUCGGGUUGUAAAGCUCUGUCAGGAGGGACGAAGCCACUCGGGUGAAUAGCCCAGAGGGUGACGGUACCUCCAGAGGAAGCCCCGGCUAACUACGUGCCAGCAGCCGCGGUAAUACGUAGGGGGCGAGCGUUGUCCGGAAUCAUUGGGCGUAAAGCGCGUGUAGGCGGCCGACCAAGUCCGGUGUGAAAGCUCGGGGCUCAACCCCGAGUCUGCAUUGGAAACUGGCCGGCUUGAGUCCGGAAGAGGAGACUGGAAUUCCUGGUGUAGCGGUGAAAUGCGCAGAUAUCAGGAAGAACACCGGUGGCGAAGGCGGGUCUCUGGGACGGUACUGACGCUGAGACGCGAAAGCGUGGGGAGCAAACAGGAUUAGAUACCCUAGUAGUC